rnacentral:rRNA from 1 species
GACGAACGCUGGCGGCGUGCCUAAUACAUGCAAGUCGAGCGCAGGAAACUGACGGAACUCUUCGGAGGGAAGGCAGCGGAAUGAGCGGCGGACGGGUGAGUGACACGUAAGGAACCUGCCUCAAGGAUUGGGAUAACUCCGAGAAAUCGGAGCUAAUACCGGAUAGUUCAACGGACCGCAUGGUCCGCUGAUGAAAGGCGCUCCGGCGUCACCUUGAGAUGGCCUUGCGGUGCAUUAGCUAGUUGGUGGGGUAACGGCCCACCAAGGCGACGAGGCAUAGCCGACCUGGGAGGGUGAUCGGCCACACUGGGACUGAGACACGGCCCAGACUCCUACGUGAGGCAGCAGUAGGGAAUCUUCCACAAUGGACGAAAGUCUGAUGGAGCAACGCCGCGUGAGUGAUGAAGGUUUUCGGAUCGUAAAACUCUGUUGUAAGGGAAGAACACGUACGAGAGGGAAUGCUCGUACCUUGACGGUACCUUACGAGAAAGCCACGGCUAACUACGUGCCAGCCGCCGCCGUAAAAC